GACGAACCGUGCGAACGUUGUUCGGAAUCACUGGGCUUAAAGGGCGCGUAGGCGGGCGGUCAAGUCGGUGGUGAAAUCCUUCAGCUUAACUGGAGAAUGGCCGCCGAUACUGACUGCCUCGAGGGAGGUAGGGGCAUGUGGAACUUCCGGUGGAGCGGUGAAAUGCGUUGAUAUCGGAAGGAACGCCGGUGGCGAAAGCGGCGUGCUGGCCCUCUUCUGACGCUGAGGCGCGAAAGCCAGGGGAGCGAACGGG
rnacentral:rRNA from 1 species